GAUGAACGCUGGCGGCGUGCUUAACACAUGCAAGUCGAACGAAGCACUUUUUUAAGCUUGCUUUUAAAAGUGACUGAGUGGCGGACGGGUGAGUAACGCGUGGGUAACCUACCUCACACAGGGGGAUAACAGUUAGAAAUGACUGCUAAUACCGCAUAAAAUGGCAGUUUCGCAUGAAACAACCAUCAAAGAUUUAUCGGUGUGAGAUGGACCCGCGUCUGAUUAGCUAGUUGGUAAGGUAACGGCUUACCAAGGCGACGAUCAGUAGCCGACCUGAGAGGGUGACCGGCCACAUUGGGACUGAGACACGGCCCAAACUCCUACGGGAGGCAGCAGUGGGGAAUAUUGGACAAUGGGCGCAAGCCUGAUCCAGCGACGCCGCGUGAGCGAUGAAGUAUUUCGGUAUGUAAAGCUCUAUCAGCAGGGAAGAUAAUGACGGUACCUGACUAAGAAGCACCGGCUAAAUACGUGCCAGCAGCCGCGGUAACAC
rnacentral:rRNA from 1 species